AUUGAACGCUGGCGGAAUGCUUUACACAUGCAAGUCGAACGGCAGCACGGACUUCGGUCUGGUGGCGAGUGGCGAACGGGUGAGUAACAUAUCGGAACGUAUCCAAUAAUGGGGGAUAACUAAUCGAAAGGUUGGCUAAUACCGCAUACGCCCUACGGGGGAAAGCAGGGGAUCUUCGGACCUUGCGUUAAUGGAGCGGCUGAUAUCUGGUUAGCUAGUUGGUGAGGUAAAGGCUCACCAAGGCGACGAUCAGUAGCUGGUCUGAGAGGACGACCAGCCACACUGGAACUGAGACACGGUCCAGACUCCUACGGGAGGCAGCAGUGGGGAAUUUUGGACAAUGGGCGCAAGCCUGAUCCAGCCAUUCCGCGUGAGUGAAGAAGGCCUUCGGGUUGUAAAGCUCUUUCGCAAGGGAAGGAAACUUACUUUCUAAUAAAGAGUGAGGUUGACGGUACCUUGAUAAGAAGCACCGGCUAACUACGUGCCAGCCGCCGCGGUAA
rnacentral:rRNA from 1 species